AGUGAACGCUGGCGGUAGGCCUAACACAUGCAAGUCGAACGGCAGCACAGUAAGAGCUUGCUCUUACGGGUGGCGAGUGGCGGACGGGUGAGGAAUACAUCGGAAUCUACUUUUUCGUGGGGGAUAACGUAGGGAAACUUACGCUAAUACCGCAUACGACCUACGGGUGAAAGCAGGGGAUCUUCGGACCUUGCGCGAUUGAAUGAGCCGAUGUCGGAUUAGCUAGUUGGCGGGGUAAAGGCCCACCAAGGCGACGAUCCGUAGCCGGUCUGAGAGGAUGAUCAGCCACACUGGAACUGAGACACGGUCCAGACUCCUACGGGAGGCAGCAGUGGGGAAUAUUGGGCAAUGGGCGCAAGCCUGAUCCAGCCAUACCGCGUGGGUGAAGAAGGCCUUCGGGUUGUAAAGCCCUUUUGUUGGGAAAGAAAAGCAGCAGGUUAAUACCCCGCUGUUCUGACGGUACCCAAAGAAUAAGCACCGGCUAACUUCGUG
rnacentral:rRNA from 1 species